GGAAGGGCCCUAACUCAGUGGUAGAGCACCUGCUUUGCAUGCAGAAGGUUCCAGGUUCAAUCCCUGGCAUUUCCA